UACANACCGCCCGUCAAGCCACCUGAGUCGAGAGCGCCCGAAGUCGGUGAUCCAACCCGCAAGGGGGGAAGCCGCCCAAGGUGAGAUCGGCAAGGAGGGCU
rnacentral:rRNA from 1 species